GAGAGUAUAGCUCAGUGGUAGAGUGAGUGCUUAGCAUGCACAAGGCAUGGUUCAAUUUCUAGUACCUUCA
rnacentral:tRNA from 1 species